rnacentral:rRNA from 1 species
CCUACGGGUGGCAGCAGUAGGGAAUGUUCGUCAAUGGGCGCAAGCCUGAACGAGCAAUGCCGCGUGAACGAGGAAGGUCUUCGGAUCGUAAAGUUCUGUUGAAGGGGAAAAAGAGCGGAGAGAGGAAAUGCUUUCUGAUGGAUAGUACCCGUCGAGGAAGUCACGGCUAACUACGUGCCAGCAGCCGCGGUAAUACGUAGGGGGCGAGCGUGAGCGGGAAGGAUUGGGCGUAAAGGGUGCGUAGGCGGCCUGCUAAGUCUGGAGUGAAAGGGACCGGCUCAACCGGUACAGGCUCUGGAAACUGGCGGGCUAGCGCGCAGGAGAGGGCGGUGCAACUCCAUUUGUAGCGGUCAACUGCG